UCCUCAGCUGAGCUGCCCGCUCCUGCUCCUGCUCCUAGGGGAUCUCUCAGAAGUGGAGGCUUCAUGCUUCCCAGCUGAGAGAUCUCCACCCUGCUCCUGCUUGCACACAAGUAGGAGUGGGAGCAGGCAGCUCAGCUGGGGA